CCACCGUAGCUCAGUUGGUAGAGCCAUCGGCUGUUAACCGAGCGGGCGCAGGUUCGAGUCCUGCCUGUGGAG
rnacentral:tRNA from 1 species